UAGUAAAGUCAGCUAAUUAAGCUUUUGGGCCCAUACCCCAAACUUGUUGGUUAAACCCCUUCCUUUACUA
rnacentral:tRNA from 1 species